CAGGAUUAGAUNCCCUGGUAGUCCAUGCUGUAAACGGUGGGCGUUAGGUGUGGGGACCGGUUUGGUUUCUGUGCCGUAGCUAACGCAUUAAGCGCCCCGCCUGGGGAGUACGGCCGCAAGGCUAAAACUCAAAGGAAUUGACGGGGGCCCGCACAAGCGGCGGAGCAUGUGGAUUAAUUCGAUGCAACGCGAAGAACCUUACCUGGGUUUGACAUGCACCAGACGGUUGUAGAGAUACGUACCUCCCUUUGUGGUUGGUGUGCAGGUGGUGCAUGGUUGUCGUCGGCUCGUGUCGUGAGAUGUUGGGUUAAGUCCCGCAACGAGCGCAACCCAUGUCUUAUGUUGCCAGCACUUUGGGUGGGGACUCAUGAGAGACUGCCGGGGUUAACUCGGAGGAAGGUGGGGAUAACGUCAAAUCAUCAUGCCCUUUAUGCCCAGGGCUUCACACAUGCUACAAUGGUUAGUACAACGCGCUGCGAGCCUGUGAGGGUGAGCGAAUCGCUGAAAGCUAAUCUCAGUUCGGAUUGGGGUCUGCAACUCGACCCCAUGAAGUCGGAGUCGCUAGUAAUCGCAGAUCAGCAAUGCUGCGGUGAAUACGUUCCCGGGCCUUGUACACACCGCCCGUCACGU
rnacentral:rRNA from 1 species